UACGUAGGGGGCAAGCGUUGUUCGGAAUUACUGGGCGUAAAGCGCGUGUAGGCGGCUUCGCAAGUCGGAUGUGAAAUCCCACGGCUCAACCGUGGAAGUGCAUUCGAAACUGCAAGGCUAGAGUCCUGGAGAGGAAGGUGGAAUGCUUGGUGUAGAGGUGAAAUUCGUAGAUAUCAAGCGGAACACCGGUGGCGAAGGCGACCUUCUGGACAGUGACUGACGCUGAGACGCGAAAGCGUGGGGAGCAAACAGG
rnacentral:rRNA from 1 species